rnacentral:misc_RNA from 1 species
GGACGAUCGUAAACAGCCCCCAGGAAGAAGAAACCUAAACUUAUCUGCAUUCUCUAUCAAAUAUGCAGGAAGAUGAACUGCAGAAGCUGAAUGAGGUAUUGGACCCAUCUUCUUAAUCAACUCCUGAAAUGUGUACUCUUCUGGGAGCAUAUCAAACAGAUCAUCUCCACUGCAAAUGAGUUUCUGAAUCCUAGAGUAAUUUAGAUAAUCUUUUUUUGUCACUCUAUCUGCAUGACUAUAAGCAGUCAUCUUAAACACAAUUUCCUGAAGUCGUCGAAAGCAAAAGCUACAAUGCCAUCCAGCAUCAGAAAAGAUAAGGUCAGUUUGACGCGAAUGCCGGUAUCUGGUCCAAGGACCAUAUACAUGGAUUGUAGCACGCCAGCUACUGUAAUCUACAGGGAACUCAAAUGAGUACAUGUAAUUCCUUAGCUCUAGAUGCAAGAUUGGUGGUAUUCCAUCACACCAUUGUAGUAGUUUUACAGUGUGAGGGCUUGGAAUUUCAUCCGUAUCUGACAUAAUAAGUAAGUCGCCACCUGAAAUCCCUGAACGGAGAAGUAAACUAUUCAUAGCUGCCCGCUGCUCUGACUCAAGUACAAAAGGAUCUUCAUGUGACCCAUGGAUAUUAGUACGGCCUGAAAAUACACCAUGGAUAAUCUUUUCCUCAGCAAAGGCAAACCGGCUCUGGUUUGAGGCAAAGAAGAGGGGUUUAGGAAUGCCUGUAAAAGUGGUGUUGGAUUCGAGGAUUACAAAUUUAGUGAUGUAGGGAUGAAGCUCACGCCAUCUGAUCUCAAGAAUGUCUAGCUCAUUGCUGAAGAUGAUGCCAUCAAAGACACGACGAGGUUCGGAGCGUAGAGACCAACCAUGAAGGAGGCAAAGAUGUUCCAUUGAAACAUUCUCUGCAUAAUAGUGAGGCAGGCGCUUGAAGGGAGGAGGGGGAUUGUCCCAAAGUGGACGGAAAAAAUAGGAGAUUUUCUGGGCAUAUGUGAAGAUUCCAAUCACACAAAUUGGCACAAUUACCAAGAGUACAAUACAAAGAAGCUUCCGAGGUGCUCUUUUGGAGGUUAAGCGGAGAGGUCGAGAGGCCAUGCUUCAGAACAGAAAGAUCCUGAGGUAGAGUUACUGGCAUAUCAGUCUCAAUAUGAUUACCACAAGAAUUACAGCUUUUCU